rnacentral:misc_RNA from 1 species
UGGUGGUCAGGAUUCAGGACAAGAUGACAGCCAGCAAGAAACCUCGUGUACACAUUGUGGCAUUAGUUCAAAAUCAACCCCGAUGAUGCGGCGUGGUCCAUCAGGCCCAAGGUCACUUUGCAAUGCCUGUGGGCUUUUUUGGGCAAACAGGGGGACUUUAAGAGAUCUAUCCAAGAAAACCCUGGAACAUUCUGCGACACCAAUUGAACAGGGUGAAGCUGAAGCAAAUGACU